GACGAACGCUGGCGGCGUGCUUAACACAUGCAAGUCGAACGGAAAGGCCCUGCUUUCGUGGGGUUCUCGAGUGGCGAACGGGUGAGAAACACGUGAGUAACCUGCCUUUUGCGUGGGGAUAACCUCAGGAAACCGGGGCUAAUACCGGCUAGGAGCUCCUGCUGCAUGGUGGGGGUUGGAAAGUUCGGGCGGUUGGGGAUGGAGGUGGGGCUUAUCAGCUUGUUGGUGGGGUAGUGGCUUACCAAGGCUUUGACGGGUAGCCGGCCUGGGAGGGUAACCGGCCACAUGGGGACUGAGAUAGGGACCAGACUCCUACGGGAGGCAGCAGUGGGGAAUAUUGCACAGUGGGCGGGAGCGUGAUGCAGCAGCGCCGCGUGCGGGAUGACGGCCUUCGGGGUGGAAACCGCAUUCGCCUGUGACGAAGCGUGAGUGACGGUAAUGGGUAAAGAAGCACCGGCUAACUACGUG
rnacentral:rRNA from 1 species